CAAAGUACUUGUUUUAUUAUUUGUGUGGUGCACUAAGACUGCCAGCGAUGGACAUAAACUGAACAACCAGCCAGACCACUCUAAGGAUCCAUUUAAAGGGAAGCCAAUGGUGCUUUGCUGAGUCGUGCUGGGAUUGCUUGUGUGCUGAACUGUAAUCACAUGAUAAAGCACUUUGCAGAAUUGGGACCAUGAAGUGGAUGCAAUUAUGUAGAUCCAACAGAAGAGGAAGGGCUUACGAUGCUAGUGAAGGUUGGCUGUACAGUUUGAUUUCGUUCUUCAGCAUGAAGGAAAGGUCUCUACGCAACUGAGACUUGUUGAUGCUUCUAGCUAAGAAGUGUGAAUUGUCCCGGCGGUUCUGGGAGUCUGCUUGGAU